CUAGGAUAGAAUCCAGGCUCCCCAGAACACUGUCCUGGAUAAGCAGUAUGGAAACUUGAUAGAUGGAUGGAUGGAUAGAUUGCAUCUAGGCAUUCUAAUUAGGUCGUAGACGUGAUGGAUAAGCAAUGAACAGAUAAGUGAAAUGGAACUGGAAAGUGCUGGUGUAGGAACGUCGCAGAGAACAUGGCAGCGAAUUAGACGUGAUAAUGAGGGAGGUCUGGUUCUCAGAACUGCCGGUAGAGGGUCUGUGUCAUAACGAGGGUUCAGGUGCCUGUUAUAUAGGUGAAAACGAGGCCAUCUAUCAAGGAUGAGC